CAGCAGCCACUGAUCAUAACAUCUGUUAAAUACUGCAAGCUCAGGGGGCUCCAACAAGUACGCAGCAAGAAGGGUUAGUCCAUAACAGCAAUGGCGGCCCCAGUGCGAGCAAAUGACAGAACGUUGAGCGGGACAAUGCAGCCAACAGAGGCUAGUCGUACAACCACAAGCAUUGCCUCUGUUCCGAGGACUCGAGCAGAGAGGACGAGGCCAGCUCCUCAGCCUACCCGUGUUGCGACAACGAGAGCCGUCGCCAACCGCGCUGUUGCUCCUCUCGAAAGCCGAAUCAGAGGUGCACGGCUAUGCCGCCCACGGCUAAACAUGGGAUGGCCCGACGCCCAGGUGAUCGGAUCCGUGGUGUCACCACACACCGAAUGGUUGCAUACCACAGACGCCCCUGCAGGACAUUCAAGGAACACGGUUCAAUGUUCAAGCCUGCGAUUUAUGCCGGGUCACCAAACACGUACCUUGACUGUUCGGGUUCUUUCGAGUAGAGGCAUUCCACACUUUGCAACGUGCAAACAUGAGCAGGCACUUGCCUAAAGCACACGGAGAGUGGCUUUUGUGUGUCUGCCCGCUGCCGUGAGCGAUGGGCACAGUAUGUUGCCAUUCAGAAAUUUUCGGAUAUAAUUAAUCUCGUCACCUGGCAGCUGUUUGUUUUUAAUUUGUUUGAUGUUAAGCCUGCGCCGUACGUUACCUCCCCACAUGCUCCUUUUUUUUCACUAUCAAAAUACCCAACUGUUGAAUAUGCAUCCACCGUCUGCACACGAGCUCACAGGGAUUUCCAGCUCAGAAGAUUCGGUACGUCAGCUGUCACUGGGACGAACGUUGGCUUCUUGCCGAGAUCUCUAUUUCAACGGACCCCUCGUCACCGCAUCGGCCUGUAUGAAGCGCUGCUCGUGCGGUGCACAGAGCCCUAGAAGGUUAUGUGCCAGUGGGGCGACAUUAACUAGGAGGCCCCUAAACUCGACUUUCGGGUUUCGCAUAAUAUAGCCCCCACUGAUGAGAGCGAGUUUUCGUACGACGUCUAUUUUGCCAUGAGCAGGCCUUUAUUACACUGAAUGACGAUAAGACUGCUUUCCUGGAAUUGUAAAGAGGGGAUAAUGUCAAAGAGCAGUCGUACAAGGCACCGAAAACGGCGUUGCGAUAACAGCCCUGAUUUCGCAGGAAUUGCGUGAAACUGGCUCCCCAAUCAUCUUGGUUAUGUAUUACGAUAGACAAAUAAAUUGU